rnacentral:rRNA from 1 species
AACCCGCCUGCAUGAAGUCGGAAUUGCUAGUAAUCGCGGAUCAGCAUGCCGCGGUGAAUACGUUCCCGGGCCUUGUACACACCGCCCGUCACACCAUGGGAGCCGGUAAUACCCGAAGUCAGUAGUCCAACCUCGUGAGGAUGCUGCCGAAGGUAGGAUUGGCGACUGGGGUGAAGUCGUAACAAGGUACC